rnacentral:rRNA from 1 species
AGCGAACGCUGGCGGCAGGCCUAACACAUGCAAGUCGAACGAACUCUUCGUAGUUAGUGGCGGACGGGUGAGUAACGCGUGGGAACGUGGCUGUUGGUACGGAAUAACUCAUGGAAACUUGUGUUAAUGCCGAGUGUGUCCUUCUGGGGAAAGAUAUAUCGCCCUUAUUGCCGCCCGAGUCUGUUUAGCUGGUUGGUGAGGUAAGGGCGCACCAAGGCGACGAUCAGUAGCUGGUCUGAGAGGAUGGCCCGCCACACUGGGACUGAGACACGGCCCAGACUACUACGGGAGGCAGGAGUGGGGAAUCCAGCGCAAUCGGCGAAAGGAUGACGCCGCCAUGCCGCGUGAAUGCUGAAGGUCUUAGGAUUGUGCAAUUCUUUCACCGGCGACGAUACUGACGGUACCCGGAGAAGAAGCCCCGGCUAACUUCGUG